rnacentral:misc_RNA from 1 species
ACUUUUCCACCUAUCCAAACAAGGCGUAAAAAACCAUCACAAAAGCCAAAGCCAAGUCACGAGACUCCAUUUGGGAAUCCACAUGCCAAAAUCAGAUUUCUUCGAUCAGAUCUCACCCCAGCCCUCAACUUGCACCCAACACAUGACACCAUAAUGGCUGUGUUCUGCACAACAUUACAUUAUCAUUCCCAAAAUCUAUACCAUAAUUCAAUGGCCCCCAAUAUUCAUCCAAUCCAAAUAUAUCAGUCUCGUUUACAAGCAUUCCUUUCAAUUUUUCAAUUUCUUUUACUUCUUUUGUUGUUCCCCUCAUUUUUCCUUUUGCUGGGUGGGAGACCAGAGGGAGAAAUAGGUCAAAAAUCACAAUUAAUAAUGAAUCAAUCUGGUAUCUAUUACUGCAACUGCUCACUCCAGUCCUUCGAUUGUUGAGCAUCCUCUAGAUCUGUUCAAAUUCCAAAUUGGAGAACACAAGCAUCAACUCCAGCAAAAACAUGUGAAACUGGAGCAAGCAACUACUCAUCAUCGCUAGAGUAGUACUCUUGCUAACAGCUGCUCUAAUCUGAGCUACAACUCUCUUUCAAUCUAAACCCCACUGCUCUCAGGAUCAUCAAAGAAUUUUCUCUCAGUAAACAAGAGUUCAUCUUCUGCAGGCUUAUAAUCCUUCCCUCGCCACAAAACAAUUUGCUCCUUCUCAAAUGUUACAAGGAUACAUGGAACCGAGUCCUGUAAAAAUAUUCAGAACAGUUAAGACUAUGAGAAAAGAGAGCACACAAUGGAAAUCAAGUUCCGUAUCUGCUAUCAACAAAGAGCAAGAAAAUUAAUGAGAUAAAAGAAAAUCACAUCUCCCUCAUAUUUUCAAGCCAUUGUGUUCAUACAGAAUAUGUUUUUCACAUAAUAGAAGAAACUUGGCAACAUAAGAAAAUGAAGUGAAUUUGCCCAUAACCCUUUCCAUUAAGAAUGAUUAGCCAAGGUUCAUGCAAAAGGAAAAGCAACGGAAGGCACAUAGACCAUAAUGAUUUAACACUUUUGACAAUUGCUGUUUCAGGAAAAAUAGCACCAAAACUGCCCAAUGAACAGGACAGCCAAAUAUAGCAUUUCCGAAUCUAAAAGGUUCUUAAUAUUUUUAACUUGAAGAAGAUAUAACAAUUACUUAUAUAAUAAACGUGCUACACUUACAUUUCUUCUUCAAUUAGAAGUUCAAUAUAACUUGUAAAAAAGAUCAUAUAUCAGAUUAUUUGAAUAAAUACUCAAUAAGAAAGUUAUUUCAAAUAUACACACACAAUGUAGGAUACUAAUAUAAGGAUCUAAUACAUAGAACCUUUAAAUCUUAAAUCUAGGAAAUGCAAACAAAGAAUUAAAUCGCAUCCAAGUUUUACCCUUAGUUUGCAGCCUAUUUUCUUGUAAUCACUCUUCUCAAGGCCCCGGCAGUCUAUCCGAACCAGCUCAUUGACGAGUAAAGCAUCUCUGACCAUGGGUACCAGACUACCAUAAUAACCAUUUUUUGCUGCAUUUCAGCAUUCAUAACUAGCAAAUUAGUGAACAGAUACUGUAAGUAUUGGGAACAAAAGAGAAAGAAAACAUUUACCAAGUUUUGUUAAAGCAGGAACAGUUAGUCCUCUCUUCCUCAUUUCUUUUGUUUCCUCAAUGCUCAGGCCAUCAAUUGUAGUUUUAAUUAGCCUGGGAUAUAUUGGUUCAUGAGGUCUCCACAUCAUCAAUGGAAUUUUAGGCCUUUUCUUGGGAUUAUAGUUCCUGCCUCUAUAUAACAUCAAUAGACCACCAUGUCUGUAGAUGAUCUUCCCAAAGGUUUUAUCCUCAAGUUGGGUGCAUAUAUUUUUCAUGUCAACAGUGGGAACACCUAGACACUUAAUCCUGACUGCUUCAGUGUGUUUCCAAUGAUUAUGGAUAUCAUUCAGCAUAUUGUGGGUUAAACCAUCUCUCCCGAGGUUAAUUUGCUUCUUGGUUCUAUUCCUUUGACAAUUUUCCAUCAGAAUCUUCCUCUCAGCGUUGUUAAGCGGCUCCCCUUGAAUUUCCUGUCUCAUCAUCCUCCUCUUCUCCUCCAAAUUCGGAUAGUCCUUCCCUUCCAAUGACUUCACCUUCGGGUCAACGGCCGGUGCACAAGCACCGGUCCAUACUCGGUCCAAACGGCCUGGACCAAAUGGCGAGUACUUAGGCUCCCUAAGCCCAAUGGGCCUUACCGUCAGGCUGCUCUCCGUGUAACUGUACCGGAAAUCAAAGGGAAGAUCGGAGUGGGUGAGCUUUGUGGCAAUCGGGUCAAGCGAGGAAGGUGGACGAUAUAAGGGCUUUCGCUUUUUCCUGGGAGUUGGAUUAGGUUUCUGAGGGAUUUCGGGAGAGAGGGAGGGUGGGGGUUUAAACGAGUAGUGGUCAUGGAGUUUUGAAGAGGUUGAGGCGGUAGAAAGAUGACGAGCGAUUAACGCUAGGGAGGGAGAGGGAAUUGGUGGUUUCUGGAGGGAGAUGCGAGCUAGAAGUAACAUCAAGGGUUAGGGUUGAAGGGCCACUGUGGGUUUAUCAACGGAAUGAAAUGGCGGGGAUUUUGCUGCAGCCUGCAGGCUAAGGCUGGUCAAACAAGGCGGUCGCAUAGCCGAUUUUCGUUCAGGAUCGGCCU